GGCAAUUAGUACAUGCACAGCCAUGGGUAAUAAACAUUAAUAGUUAGAAAAAUAAAUCAUAAACUUAAUUGUCAAUAAAGUAUAAAUACAAGUAUAAACCAUAAAUACAAAAUACAUUCUAAACAAUUAAAAAUCAAAAAAUGUAAAUGUGUCAUCUUCAUUUAAAUCAGGAUCAUCAAUCUCAUGCCCUCAUUCAUGUUGGAUUCCUUAGUGGAUUUUGGUGACCCUUCAAUAAAUGUGCCAUUAAUGUCUGUCUUUGACCAAAUAAUUACAUCAUCACCACCAUUCAAUAGAUUCUCAUUACAUGUACAUGGUUGGCUUUGUAAAUAAUCCUCAACAUCAUCUAUGGAGGUAUCAUUAGAUAUAUUAUGAUAAUCUAUUAGUGUGGUUUUGAUUACCACAUGCCAAUCAGUAUUUAUUGGAUCUUGAAUAUUAAACACUUGUUCUGUUUGAGAUGCAACAAUAAAAGGCUUCUUAUCAUUCAUCAAUAGUGAAAUGUUAACUAAUGUAAACCUAAGCUCAUCCUAUUUCAAUCCCCUCCCAUUUGACACCCAAUCACAUUUGAAUAACACAAUAUUUUUCCCAACCCAGUAUUCUAAUUCUAUAAUCUCUUUCAACACUCCAUAAUAUGUGAUAUCACUAUCACUGGGAUUGUUAUCUUUCACACCUGAAAACUUUAUGUACCUGCUGUAAUAGUAGUCUGAGUUUGAAAGUGGAUAAACCACAUCAGUUCUCUUUAAAUUCAUAUACCUUUCCUGAUUUGUUGUAACUAUAUCCAUAACUUGUGUAACAACUCUGAUAUGACUCUGUAGGCCUGUAUAUAUAAAGAAGCUAACACAAUACAAAAAGUAGUUCAAAACAUCACUUACAUGGUAUCAAAGCCAUUAUUAGCCAUCCAUGGCAAACACCUUUUCAGCUUUUAUUUCUGCCUCCUCUUCUUCAAUCCCAAAUGUCUCUCAGCUCCUCUCAGUCAAGCUUACAUCUUCGAAUUACCUUCUGUGGAAAGGUCAGAUCCUCCCUCUCCUGAAUGGGUACAACCUGGCUACCCAUGUGCCGUCUUCCUCAACUGUGCCAGACAAAAAUCUGGCAGACGGA
rnacentral:misc_RNA from 1 species